ACCGGCCGCGGCCCGCACGCCGGCGCGGGCGAGCGCGCGCGCAGGUAUCGCACCGCGCGCGCUACGGUCGAGCGGGACCGAACCCGCGGCCAGACGCGAACGCUCGCCGGUCCGUCGACCGUCAUUCGUACGACUGCUGCAAUCAACAACAAACGUUCUCGCGCCGAGUUCUCUCAUUUCACUACCACCAUUUAAACCACACUAAGUUCUUAUUUCGUUAUGACAAUAUUAUUAUGUAUUCCGCCGCUGUUUACUUAUACUUGCCGUACUUACACCGCAGCAUAAAACUAUAAUUUUUACGUUUUUAUUCUCUUCGUCCGUCACCCGAGUAAACCGCCGAUUUCACGAUUACGAUAUUAUAUUUUUUGUGUUUGAUUUUUUUUCGCUAUUUUUUUUAUUUAAUUUUAUCAUAUCCCAUGCAACAAACAUUUUAGAACGAUCGCAGUACUCGACAACUCGCGCUCAUCUUCAAGCCACAGACCUCCGAUACAUCGUCGUCGACGGUCAACCGACGACAUUGUUAUUGACACUCAUAUAAUAUCAUGACGCACUCGAUGUACAGUGCAGACGCGUUUAAUGUUGAAAUGUGGAAUAUUGUGCUAUUCGGAACUAUAAUAUAAUAUACACGUCUUUGCAGACUAAAAUUACAUUCAUAUUCUCAUCGAUGAUGGAAAUUUCAAACACACUAUUUUCGAGAACUAUUCAAACUCCUCGAUACGGAUAUGGACAAGCGGCUGUGUGACGAAUGGAUGACGUGUACCUGCAUAAUGCAAUUUACGGAGCAAAAUAUGUAGUACGCAAUAAAACUCAAAAAAUAAUUCAUUUUUCGGCGACUAUAUUAUACAGUCAAACGAGUUGUCAUCGCAAACGCGAUACGGCAGCAACAACGAUGAGAUCAAUACGGUCGGAGAUACCGUUGCAUAUAAAAUACCAUCGGAUCACUGCCGCAGUAGUCAAACCUAUUCCCACGAACUGUUGAGUGGCGGCGACAGAAACGAUAUUGUUCUAAGAACCCAAUGCGAUUUGUCGCGUGUCAGUGGGCCACCAGACGCAGACGAUCGACGGUUAUCACUCUCCGCUGGCGGAAUUCGGAGGCUAAGCAAACGCUCCGGGGCCUCGAUAUAAUAUAAUUGCAUUCCACGCGGCGCCGCAACAAAAUAAACGGUCUAUAUUUUACCGAAGAAAUUCCACCGACGUCGUCGUCUUCCGUGGUCCGGAGAAAAACUCAGUGAGCCCAGUAUAACAAUGAUGAUAAUAAUAAUAACAAAAACAGAAACAACAAUGACAACCACAACAACAACAUCAUCAACAAGGACAUUAACAACACAAACAAUUUAUUAUAACGUAGCCCGAGGAACGGGAGACAAGUAUUUCCGGAAUCGCAAUUAUUGUCGCCAUCGAAUUCAAUGGAUGAUUGAUUCCCGUCCAGAGAGGAGUGAACUUUUCAGUAACAAACAAACGAACAGGUAAAACAUUUUAGGUUUUCGAUAGUAUUUUAAAAAGAAAGACAACGGGUCGCCACAAAAGCAUACAUCUCGCCCGCACAAUGGUUGAGGCGCUGCGCCCACGACGUUUUUGUUUCAAUAAUGAUGUCGUUUCAAAUGGACACAAAACUUUUGUUCGAAAUUUCAGUUUGCGUAAAUAUUCUUUGAAUGUUCGUUAUUUUCCCGCUCACGUUAAUUAAAAUAAUAUAAUGGUUACGUGUUAACUUGUCGUUCGUAAAUCUCGGAACUUCAGGUUCAAAAACCACAUUAUCGUCAAAUCGUAUUUCACCUCAGCCGUGUGUUACAUUUUAUAGAGUUAUCUCGCGUUCUUUAAAAUAACUAAACGAUAUGACAAAAUAACAAAUUCAAAAUUGAAUCAAUGUAAAUAAAUAAUUUAAAAAAUAUAUAUACAUAAAUGCGUUACAUGACCUAAUUUAUAGUAAUUUGAACUUUAAUGACGACUGAAUAUACUUAAUAUACGAACCUAAUAUUUAUACGAUUACAAUUUACAACCCCGAAUGGGGCUACGACUUGCUAUCUCCAUUAAUUCAAUAAUUAUUAACACUAUAACUCUGCAGUGAGUGCGUAGCAGCGAUAAUGUUAAAUACCCGCGAGUGCAAUUCCGAUGCAAAAGAACUCAUUGGAAUUACUUAAUUUUAUCUUAUAAAUCAUAAUUAAAUAAUAUGACGUAUUGCGAUGUUUUUCACGUCGGCGGAAACAUGGACGAGAAACGAAAGAAAACCAUUUUCUUUAAAACUUGGACGCGUUUUGCCAACCGUCUGGUCGUCGCUGCAAAAGGGGUGGUGAUGGCGACGUGAAACCGUACACAGACUGCACUGUGUCGCACGCGAUUUGGAUGGUGGGGCGCGGGUGUUACGGUAAUGAUAUUAUUAUUAUUAUUACGUUCACGUGGGUCACGUCAUAUUAUUAUCACGACGACGACGACGUCUCACAACGCCGUCGUCGCGCGGACACACAAACAGAAAACAGCAGAUAAUAAUAAUUAAUAUGGCACCGCAGCGGCGGCGCGUCAGUGUCGGCGGUUGAAUAACCUCAUCGCAUCCCGGUGCAGUCGUCGUUGUUCUAACAGUUUCGGCGUCGUUUCCUGCGCCGCCGCGAGUUGAUUAAACGCCGUCAUCAUCACGCUCCAGUUUCGUGCAGAUCUUGUAUCGCGAGACCGACCGACCGUGUGCAUUUCGUCUUAAGAUGUAUUAUAAUAUUAUACGCAUUUCCACCGCAAGUGGAACGCGUACGACGGCGGUGCGUGCGCCGGUAAUCUAAUAUAUCGCGUCCAGGCUGCAACAUUACCAUGGUAUAUUAUGUAUUUAUGUAUAAUAAUAUUAUAUUAUGCUGUUUUAAUGCACGCGCAAUACCAUUGCUGUAAUAUAUCAUAUUAUUACUAUACGGUCACUGUUAUAACGUUCUACGAGAUGGUGGAGAUAUUACAAGCAACCGACGCAGCAGCUAUGUACGAUAUAUAUAUAAAUAAUGCGAUGAUGUCUUAAAAAACAUACUUGCAACAAUAAUAAUAUAAUUAUAUAUAUACGCGUAGGCAUAAUAUUAUUAUAUUCGGCGGCGGUCGCGUUUUUCCGAUAUUUUAUUGUACAUCGUUUCGCCGCCCCGAGAGACUGUUUAUAUCGUAUACCUAUUAAGUUAUAUACCUACCUAGCGUAUAAUAAUAUAUUCAUUUUAAUAAUAUUAUUAUACUGCUGCAGAAUGAGAGACCGUGGUGGGAGCGACUGACGCCGCGGACGAGUCGUCGCGGACUACAACGGGCUCGUGACCGGAUCUCGUGGAUAAUCGUGAUCGUCGAAAACGUUGCAGAACAGCGAAACGAAAUUAGGCGCACUGCUGAAACUUGUAAUAAUAUAAUAUAUUGAUAUACAUAUACGACGGACGUGGUCUCGGGGGGGGGGGAGGGGGAGGCUCGACUCGGCGUAGGAUAGUAUGGUCGUUUAGGGUUGGGAUUUCUUCGAUAUGCUUUGCAUAUUGCUUACCGAAGCUAACGUUAAAUGAGAAUAAUAGUGAUAGAGCAUUUUAUAAGUGCGUUAUUUUGAAUUUUGGGGCAUUAUAUAAUAUGACAUAUGUCAUUAUGACGAUACCUAUGCGUGAGGCAAUUAUGAAUCACACUCCGACAAACACUGUUCUGGUCGGAUAUCAGUAUAUCACUCGUACAUAGUUUGCUAUUCCUACCAUGUUGUAUAUGUAGGUGUUUGUACGAAUAAAAUUAUUUACGAUAGAAUAUCGUACCAGAAAUAAUAAUAAAUAUACGAAAGUAUACGAAUAUGUAAAUAUAUAACUGUACGAAUUUAGCGGGAUACAAGAAUUUCGGUAUUUCGUAUUUUUCUGCACGCUUCGUUUCGAAGUCGACCGAUGCUUAUAGCGUACAAUAUUAUAAUAUUAUCUAUUACCACUCUUACCGGCAUGGUACCUUUUUUAUAUUAUUAUAAGUACAUCCGCAACGUGUUAAAAAAAAAAAUCGUCUGAUAAAAUUCGCGUCGAUCAAACAUGAAAUUCAAAUGAAGCCACUGCCGGUCCCACCAGCCGCCCGCGGCGGAGACGCGCGCGCACAGAUCGCCGCACGUGCGUCGUUUCGCCAUAUUUUCACGCGUCGAGGCGCGCAUAGUACACGAUUUUCGCGGUCUCUCUCUUUCCCCCUUUCCCUUUUCACGCUCUCACCCUCUCUCUUUUCUCUUCCAUCUCUCUCGCUCUCCGUCUCGCUCGGUCUCUCGCCCUCUCUCUCAAUCUCUCUCGCGCCGGUCCACCGUCGAUCAUUCGCCGUCUGGCCGUCGGCAGGCGCGCUCGUCGUGCCGCGAAAACCGAUAGUGUCCGUUGGUCGGUCGUCACCAUCACCACCAUCGAAUGUCGGCAGACGUGUAACGGCUUUGGGUAAUUAUAUUGUUUUUUAUGAAUAUAUUUUUUCUUCCAGUUUUGUUUCUUGAAAAAAAAAGACGAUUGCAGUAGUUUUAUUUAAUUUAAACGAACCGCCGGUCGCGUAUCCGGACUAUAACGUGCAUGUCACAUAUUAUACGCUACGAUGAGUGUAUACAUACGAUGGAUGUGUUUGUCUACACAAUUUGUGCGAAACGAAUAUUGUAUUAUUUUCACAACGCGAUCCGUUCAUUUGGCGUUUCCCACAUCUACCAGCUCUAUAUUGCAGACCUGCACCGGAAUCGACCGAAUUGAGCCGUACUGCCGUCCACGGGCUUAACGGAUGAUAGUUUGUGUCCGAAAAUUCACAUUAUCGUUAUUAAACGCCAGCAACGCGCAACACAAUUCCGGUAAUAUUAAUUAAUUACGAGUAUUACCAUAAUAUUGUAUAAUAUGCGGAGACAGUGGUGGUUAAGUGUAAUACAUUAUGGUAUGGUAUAUUUAUGUAGAAUAUAAAAUAAUAUACGCGCAAGCAAUCCGGUCGACGAAAAGUUUUUCUAUUAUUCAAGUAUAUAAUACAGUUUUUACCUCUUUUUUUUUGGUUUUGUUUUUCUUUUACUUCGCUCUUCUCCAGAAAAACGCGCAUAAAACUUUUAGGUAAAAGAAACUGUAAAUAUAUAAAUAUACGUUCGAGUAUUGUUAUUUCUUUGCUUGUCGGUUUUCUCGAGUGCCCCAUCACCUAAUGUUUUUCUUCUUUUUUAUAUUAUUUAUUCCUCCUCGCGCACUUUAUUUAUUAUCCGAAAAUCUUCUUAUCCUCGGUGUGCGGGGACGAGAACAAAUUUGAAAUUCGCUGAAAGUUAAUCCAAGAAUGUUUUUUUUAUUAACAUUUUUAUGUUUUGUUUUUUUUUCAUUGUACGCGAAAGUCCACGUCUUAAUUCAAUAACCAAAAUGCUUAUUACAUUUACAUAAUGGAAAUUAUUUCGUUGUGGAACGAUGUUUAAUUUUUUUUUCAUUAUUUAUGCCUUAUUAUGCAUUUCUUCGCUCCUCCAAUCGUCGUUUUUCCUGCUGUCGAUUAAUAAUGGAAUAUUUAAAUGACAUUUUAUACCCUAUUGUAUUAUAACGUACGAUAUUAUCAAGAGGUAUAUAUAUAAUAUAAUAAUGUAUAGUCCGUGGCGCGAGUGUUUCUUCAUUGAUGGGAAAGUUAUCGACUCGCGUUUGCGGAAUUUUAAAGAACAGAGAGGGAUCGGUUAUAGAGAAUUGACGCCGAGGGGGAAGGAAUGAAAAAAAGCGUAAAAUGCGCUGCUCGAGAAACAUGUAAUAAUAAUAAUCGCACCGACACCCCUAUACUCACACGCAUACACAUAUAAUAUGUAUAUUGUAUAUAUAUAUAUAUAUUGUUGAACGAAAGUUUUGCCGCAAAUGAAACUCGCCGUAGUGUUAAAAAUUCCUGCAAAAGCGUUCAUUAAAAUGUUUUUCGUUAUACGUGUAUGUGGUAGUAUGUUUCAGUAUCGUGCACAGCCUUUGUUCGGCGCAUUCAUUCUUAGACUUUAUGUUAUACCACACGUGAAUGGUUUUCGGUCAAAACUCCCGUAAAAUUUAACGACCUAUUCCUCUAUAUAUAUAUAAUACCCUCUGUGUACCAGUAUUUUAGCCAGUAAAGAACUAUACAGAAUAAUAUAGUUAUCUAAUAUAAAGAACUUUUCUUUUUUUUUUUUAUCGAAAACUCGUAUCGACAAGGUUGUGUGCAAAUACGUCACGGUACGUAGACUGAUUUGAGAUAUUUUUCGGCGGUGCAAAGACGACAACGUUAUAAUAAAAAACACGGCUUUAUCAGCUUUCAUUUUUGUUUUCUCGUAAAUCGUAAUCGUCCAGCGUAAUGGGGUUUAGGCCCAGCCAAAUUUUUGGGGCGAAAGAGAUGAACAUCCCAGUCAUACUCUUAUAAGUCCUCCUCCUUGUGUGUAUAUUAUGAUAUACUACUAUUAUUAUAUUGUACAAUUUCCCUCCCGGGACAAGCCGUAAAAAACGAUCGGGCACUUAAUAUUACUAUUUCGAUAUAACCGUGCCCCAAAUAUGAUAUUAUAUUCUAUAUUAUACGCUGUUAUCAUUAUUACUAUUAUUAUUAUUAUUAUUAUUGUUAUUAGUGUACUGUUAGAUCACAUAGUCGCCUGACGCCCAGUUGUAAUAACACGCGGUGGCGCGGUCAAGCAGCGAUUGCUAAACUCCGAUUAGAAUAAUAUUAUGUAUAAACCGACCAUAUAUUAAUAUUUUACAGUAUAGUUUAAUAAUAUUAUAUAGUAGGCAGGUAGUGCUGUGGUACGUAGGCGUUAUACAUAUUAUAAUAAAGUUAUAAUAACGGUUUGGUGGAAUAUAUUCAAAAUUAAAUUUUACUCGGACCGUAUAAUAUGAUUUAUCAGGUUUCUCGGCCUGGGCACCAAGCGUUUCAAAGCAGCAGCGUACUAUAGUUUGAGUGUGUAUAUAAUGUGUAUCUGUGAGUGCAAGCGCACGCGCUAAGUCCAUUAUGAUAUAUUAUUUUAAACGGAUAUUUUAAGAACUGGCCGUCGUAUACUUGCCAGAAAAUUGAUUGUUUUUGUUUUCAUAAUAUAUAAAGUAUUUGAUAAAUAUUUGUGCAUGCGAUCCAUCUGGUCGACGGUGGUGGGUGCGGCGUUGAACAGAAUAAGGUAGCUUAAAAUAAACCAUCGAUUUGACGUAGCACGUGUGCUUCGGGCUUGGGCUCAGCUUAUUCCCUUGCAGGAUACGCGGUCGGUUAUAUCUAUAUAUUAUUAUCUAUGUGUUCUACAGGGCGCGCUUUUCGAAGGUUAAAUUUGUAAUGAAAAGUAUAAUUUACUAUGGAAACCGUUUUUUUAUUUAAAUAUCCGUUAUUACGGUAAACGCGUCAUGAAAAUAGAUAUUAUUAUAUGGUUUGUAGUCAUAACGUAGAGUUUUCAUAUCGUCAAAAGCCCUUCAAAAAAAAAUGUAUAUUAUUACAGUAUAUACUAUUUUAUAUUAUGUACAUAUUAAUAUUAUAUACGAGCGAUAACGCGACGUCGACACCGCCCGCGCGCGUCACGUCAUACAAUUUUUUUUAGCCAGCUCUUCACCCCCUCCCCACAUGGCCUGACAGUUCGCCCACGCGACUGACUGGCGCGUGUGCCGCACCUGAGUCGCGACUGCACAACCACCACAGCGUAUAAUCCGGCGGGAUAGCCGCACACGGCCGUAUAACAUGAUGUAUUAUAAUAUAGUGAGUAUAAUAAUAAAACUGCUAUAAUAAUAAUAUUAUCGUAUAUAUACAAAACGGAAUAAUUUAUUGGCCACUGUCGUUCCAGCUGCCAACGCGUCACAUGGCGUUGCACAAACACAUCGGUCCGCGGCUGUCGAAUGUAACGUUAUAUUAUUAUUAUUAUUAUUAUUAUUAUCAUAGUGACAAGCGGCGGCGGCGGAUUCUAUAAUAAUAUUAUUAUUCCUCUUCGUUAUCUGACGCGGUCGAAUCCUCCGCACCCAAACCCGUGACGUCUGCAGCGACGAUGAUUUAUUAUAAUAUUGCCGUCGGUUUGAGCAAAUAUGAGAUCGACAAAACGUAUCCGCGUAAUUCCAUAAUAUGGUAGGUACGCGCCCGAUCGUGUGUAGUGUGUAUGUGCAGUGUAUACAUCAUAUGACUAAAUUUUAGUAUUAAAAUGGACUAUAUAAAUUAGUUUGACGCGUUUUGACUAUUAUAAUUAGUUAACUAGUUAAUUUUAAUUAGUAUAUAUUGAGCUAGGGGUUAGGAACUUUGCACAUAUGUAUAUAACAUAUGUUCUUUUUUUUUUUAUAUCCUAGAAGAAUAUGACAAGUAUGAAUCCUUUUCGUGCUUGAUGAUAACUGAUAAGUAAAGCGUAUUAUUAUGUUUUCUCAAUCUAUAUAUAAAUUAAAAAGGUUUUGAAUUUUCUAUCAGCUCACUUUAAAUGUUUAUAAAAUAUGAAGUUCGAUUUUCGGCUCAUUAUUUUAUGUAAAGCGUAUUUUCGAGUGUUAUAAAAUUUUGCAUAUAAAAUCGCUAACGAGUAUAUUUUUUAGCACUACAACUCUCGAACCCCGAUAUCGACAUAUUAUAUGCCUAUAUGACAUUUAUUUCCCCUUACGUUCCUAACUUCUUUUUUGGUUCCGGUAUCUUUGCUUUUCUGUCGAGAGACAUUGUCUCUUUCUCUCAUCUUCGGUUCAGUCUGAGCAACCCACUCCCUGUAACAACUCCUUCAAUUUGUUUCCCCUCUACAUAUAAACUAUAUUAUACAGUAGGUAUACACCUUUGAAGCCAACGGCUGCAUUGACGUUUUUUAUUCAUUCAUCUUGAUCUAAGUUCUCCCUUAUUUCAGGCGAUAUCUCCGUCUUUCUUUUUCAAAUUGGCUCCUGCGCAUCACCUGAUAUAGAAUCCUUUGUUGAUUUAUGUUCACCUCUUAUUAUAAUAUUUCAUUCACAAUUUCAUCAAAGACUCCGGGAUGCAGCCUACGGGAUCCUCUGCAGUAUUGAUACAUUUAAUAAAUGUUCACAACGUUCACUCCCAAUUGCACAGCUUCAUAAGUUCCCCGAACAACCAAACGUCGAUAAAGAGCACAUAACAAUUAUAUCACUAGAUUCUUACGGCCGUAUCACCAUGGCUACAAAAAUAAUUAUAAUAUUAUAUUACGAGUGUUUACCACUGUCCCCAUAUUACACCGACCGUACAAUCAAAGAAACAGCGGCGUUAGACAUUGUUUUUUUUUCUUUCAAUUCUGUACAAGAGAGUGCGCGUGAUAAAUGACAGAUGGCCUAUAUAAUAUCUAUACACAUGGCUGAAGUGGCGUAUACGCAUGUAUAUGUGUGUACAUAUAUAGUAUGUAUGCUUCUGCAAGUCUGGUGUGUGCGCGCGUGUGUAUACAUAUACACGAGAUUAUGAGGAGCGACGGGCUCGUAAGUCUGGAUGAGGUGGGUCGGGGAGCGGCUGAAACCUUUUUCCGAUCCCUGAAACAAUACGACACGGCGACCAGAUUACACUUAGCGUGCGUCUAUUCCCCUUUAUGCAGGAGCCGACGCGAUAUCCCGCGGUCGCCGCCCACUGCUGCAGCUGCUGACCCGCGAAGAAAAUAUAAAAAUCCCUGAUGCGAAUGUGUCGCGCGCGUGGCAUUCGUUUCAUGUUUGCAUUGCUCCGAUAUCUGGCGAGGAAGAGGUUUUUGUAUUAUAUGUAUAAUAAAAAAAUAUACUAUGUACAAACAUCAACGGGUCGUAAAAAUUGUCUUCUAUAUAUAUGCCGUGGUCGUAUAGCGUAUAACGUAAACUAUAUUAUUACACUAUACGUAUAUAUAUAUAUAUAUAUCGUAUUCGGCCUACACGUGCGGUGUUGCCGGACCAUAAUAAUACAUAUCGCCACUGCGAUAUAUAUACAAACAGUCAGCCGAGCCCCAUCGGGGCUCGUUUUCCGGGAGACGUCGAGUACGCGACGACCGCGGCGUUUUUACGCACCUCAUACCGUGGCGGGUUUUAUCGACAUUUUACGUCCGUCGUUUAUGCGCCAAACGACGGUACCGCGCAGAGUACUUUAUAUUAUGUUAUUAUUAUUAUAUUCCCCGGCGGGCACGUUAGAGCGGAUACGGUUCCCGAUGGUCGGCGUGUUGUUAUAUACGUGAACUAUAUAAUAUUAUAUAUUAUGUGUAUAUAUAUAUAAACAAACACAAACUGAUUUAUAUCGCGAAAUAAAAUCGACUCGAGCAAGCCACGAUCGUGGACGACGAAAAGCACUAUAAGUGUGCAGAUUUUCCCGCUGUGCGAUAAAUACCAUCAAAUAAUAAUAACAACAAAAAAACCAAGUAUUGCGUUUUAUGUAGGUAUAGAUUCCACAAAAUAUGUUGGUCUGCGCCUCUUUGGGUGAGAAAUUGUUUAGAAAUUUCAGUUAUUCUUUUUCUCUCUUUACCACUUUAAGAUUGUAUUUGGGAUAAAUAAAUCAAGAACAACCCAACCUUCCCUCCGCUAGCUCCCACGAAGAAUAAAAUUGAUCGUUUUACCUCUCGACCGACAGCUUUCAUUAUAAUAAUAAUAUAGAACCCUAUUUUCUCUGUUUUCGAUUAACAAUUCUUUUUAUUCCGCAUAUUUAUAAGCAUCAGGAAAAAAAGACUGAAAAUGUAACAAAUAAAUAAACCGUUCGUAGAAAUUCUUUUAUCUUACCUUUCAUUCGCUACUCCUCAUAAACAUAUAUUUUGUCAACUUUCCACAUUGAAAUAUGAGAUAUAGUAAUUUUUAGUUCGAAUAGAAUGAGUCUGCGUGCUUUAGUGCUAAAUGGCAAUCCCACUAAAUAGUGGUUGUACAGCUAUAUUAAUUUUUUGUUUUCGAGCAAUACAUCAAAGGUUGAAAUUUAUUAAACAUUAAAUAAAUAUAACGAGUUAUUUAUUAAAUG
rnacentral:lncRNA from 1 species